GUAGGGAAUAUUGCGCAAUGGACGAAAGUCUGACGCAGCAACGCCGCGUGGAUGAUGAAGCAUUUCGGUGUGUAAAAUCCUGUCGGUGGGGAAGAAAAGUAUGAUGAGUAACUGCUUCAUACCUGACGGUACCCACAGAGGAAGUCCCGGCUAACUCCGUGCCAGCAGCCGCGGUAAUACGGGGGGGACGAGCGUUGUUCGGAUUUACUGGGCGUAAAGGGCGCGUAGGCGGGUCUUCAAGUCGGAUGUGAAAACUACCAGCUUAACUGGUAGCCUGCAUUUGAUACUGUUGAUCUUGAGUACGGGAGAGGAGAGUGGAAUUCCAGGUGUAGCGGUGAAAUGCGUAGAUAUCUGGAAGAACACCAGUAGCGAAGGCGGCUCUCUGGACCGAUACUGACGCUCAAGCGCGAAGGCUUGGGGAGCAAACAGGAUUAGAUACCCGAGUAGUCC
rnacentral:rRNA from 1 species